rnacentral:rRNA from 1 species
GGUUAAGUUAGAAAGGGCGCACGGUGGAUGCCUUGGCACUAGGAGCCGAUGAAGGACGGGACGAACACCGAUAUGCUUCGGGGAGCUGUAAGCAAGCUUUGAUCCGGAGAUUUCCGAAUGGGGAAACCCACCACUCGUAAUGGAGUGGUAUCCAUAUCUGAAUUCAUAGGAUAUGAGAAGGCAGACCCGGGGAACUGAAACAUCUAAGUACCCGGAGGAAGAGAAAGCAAAUGCGAUUCCCUGAGUAGCGGCGAGCGAAACGGGAUUAGCCCAAACCAAGAGGCUUGCCUCUUGGGGUUGUAGGACACUCUGUACGGAGUUACAAAGGAACGAGGUAGAUGAAGAGGUCUGGAAAGGCCCGCCAUAGGAGGUAACAGCCCUGUAGUCAAAACUUCGUUCUCUCCUGAGUGGAUCCUGAGUACGGCGGAACACGUGAAAUUCCGUCGGAAUCCGGGAGGACCAUCUCCCAAGGCUAAAUACUCCCUAGUGACCGAUAGUGAACCAGUACCGUGAGGGAAAGGUGAAAAGCACCCCGGAAGGGGAGUGAAAGAGAUCCUGAAACCGUGUGCCUACAAGUAGUCAGAGCCCGUUAACGGGUGAUGGCGUGCCUUUUGUAGAAUGAACCGGCGAGUUACGAUCCCGUGCAAGGUUAAGCAGAAGAUGCGGAGCCGCAGCGAAAGCGAGUCUGAAUAGGGCGCAUGAGUACGUGGUCGUAGACCCGAAACCAGGUGAUCUACCCAUGUCCAGGGUGAAGUUCAGGUAACACUGAAUGGAGGCCCGAACCCACGCACGUUGAAAAGUGCGGGGAUGAGGUGUGGGUAGGGGUGAAAUGCCAAUCGAACCUGGAGAUAGCUGGUUCUCUCCGAAAUAGCUUUAGGGCUAGCCUCAAGGUAAGAGUCUUGGAGGUAGAGCACUGAUUGGACUAGGGGCCCCUACCGGGUUACCGAAUUCAGUCAAACUCCGAAUGCCAAUGACUUAUCCUUGGGAGUCAGACUGCGAGUGAUAAGAUCCGUAGUCGAAAGGGAAACAGCCCAGACCGCCAGCUAAGGUCCCAAAGUAUACGUUAAGUGGAAAAGGAUGUGGAGUUGCUUAGACAACCAGGAUGUUGGCUUAGAAGCAGCCACCAUUUAAAGAGUGCGUAAUAGCUCACUGGUCGAGUGACUCUGCGCCGAAAAUGUACCGGGGCUAAACGUAUCACCGAAGCUGCGGACUGUUCUUCGAACAGUGGUAGGAGAGCGUUCUAAGGGCUGUGAAGCCAGACCGGAAGGACUGGUGGAGCGCUUAGAAGUGAGAAUGCCGGUAUGAGUAGCGAAAGAGGGGUGAGAAUCCCCUCCACCGAAUGCCUAAGGUUUCCUGAGGAAGGCUCGUCCGCUCAGGGUUAGUCGGGACCUAAGCCGAGGCCGAAAGGCGUAGGCCG